AUUAGGGACUUCUGGUGGGGAGACAAAGACGAGAAGAGGAAAGUACACUGGUUGUCAUGGGAAAACAUGACGAAACCCAAGAGGGAUGGCGGAAUUGGAUUUCGGGAUAUGCAUCUGUUCAAUCAGGCGCUCCUAGCUAGGCAAGCUUGGAGAUUGAUUCAAAAGCCAGAAAGCCUAUGUGCCGGGAUCCUCAAAUCAAAAUAUUUCCCAAAUGGCAAUCUUCUAGAUACGGGUUUCUCUUCGGACGCCUCCCCGGUCUGGAGGGGAAUCAAGUUCGGUCUAGAGCGGAUUGGGGAUGGUAAAAAGAUUCAAAUCAUGCGAGACCAAUGGAUCCCUAGGGAUGUUGGCUUGACUUAG
rnacentral:rRNA from 1 species